rnacentral:ncRNA from 1 species
GACUCAAGCUGAAGCCGAUCACACGCCCACCCCGGGUGGUGGCGACGACCCAUUCCAUUGUCUGCCCCAACUUUCAAUGGCACUCUGCGUCUACCGUGGUGACCAUGGGUGAGAGGGAAUCGGUUCGAUUCUAGAGAAGGCAGCCUGAGAAAUGGCUGCCACAUCCAAGGAAGGCAGCAGCUAUGUAAAUUGCCCACUCCCGACCCAGGGAGGUA